UACGUAGGGGGCUAGCGUUAUCCGGAUUUACUGGGUGUAAAGGGAGCGCAGACGGCCGCCCAAGUCGGGUGUGAAAGCCCGGGGCCCACCCCCCGGGACGGCACCCGAUACUGGGCGGCUAGAGUGCCGGAGGGGUAGGCGGAAUUCCUGGUGUAGCUGUGAAAUGCGUAGAUAUCAGGAGGAACACCGGUGGCGAAGGCGGCCUACUGGACGGAGACUGACGUAGAGGCUCGAGAGCGUGGGGAGCAAA
rnacentral:rRNA from 1 species